UACGAAGGGUGCAAGCGUUAAUCGGAAUUACUGGGCGUAAAGCGUGCGCAGGCGGUUUUGUAAGUCAGAUGUGAAAUGCCCGGGCUUAACCUGGGAACUGCAUUUGUGACUGCAUGGCUAGAGUGUGUCGGAGGGGGGUAGAAUUCCACGUGUAGCAGUGAAAUGCGUAGAUAUGUGGAGGAAUACCGAUGGCGAAGGCAGCCCCCUGGGAUAACACUGACGCUCAUGCACGAAAGCGUGGGGAGCAAACAGG
rnacentral:rRNA from 1 species